rfam:Muricauda lutaonensis strain CC-HSB-11, complete genome.
GGGGCCGACUGGUUUUGACAGCAAGACCAAUGGUUAUGUAAGCAUGCCGAGCUAUGGGAAUGAUGCUCGUAAAUUCAAUAUCCCAACCUUUUAAAUGGCGAGUCUAACUACGCUUUAGCUGCCUAAUUGACUGAAUUACAGUAAGUCAUGGCCUAGUCCCGCAAGGCGGGAAAGCUAAAUGCCCCCUAGUAGCCCUUGUUGACGGCGACUAAUAUCGGGGCACCAUAAAAGUCAACACCGGACUUUCGUAGCUUCGGCGGAAGUCUCAAAUCAAAGAAGCUAAGUGCACAAUGGGCGGUCUCUGGUCAGUUGUGCAUCGAAAACCGAACAGGGACUAAGCAUGUAGAAAGCAUGGCGAUUGCUUGUUUGGACGAGGGUUCGAAUCCCUCCGGCUCCACUU